GAUUGAACGCUGGCGGCAUGCCUUACACAUGCAAGUCGAACGGCAGCACGGGUGCUUGCACCUGGUGGCGAGUGGCGAACGGGUGAGUAAUACAUCGGAACAUGUCCUGUAGUGGGGGAUAGCCCGGCGAAAGCCGGAUUAAUACCGCAUACGAUCUACGGAUGAAAGCGGGGGACCUUCGGGCCUCGCGCUAUAGGGUUGGCCGAUGGCUGAUUAGCUAGUUGGUGGGGUAAAGGCCUACCAAGGCGACGAUCAGUAGCUGGUCUGAGAGGACGACCAGCCACACUGGGACUGAGACACGGCCCAGACUCCUACGGGAGGCAGCAGUGGGGAAUUUUGGACAAUGGGCGAAAGCCUGAUCCAGCAAUGCCGCGUGUGUGAAGAAGGCCUGCGGGUUGUAAAGCACUUUUGUCCGGAAAGAAAUCCUUGGCUCUAAUACAGUCGGGGGAUGACGGUACCGGAAGAAUAAGCACCGGCUAACUACGUGCCAGCAGCCGCGGUAAUACGUAGGGUGCGAGCGUUAAUCGGAAUUACUGGGCGUAAAGCGUGCGCAGGCGGUUUGCUAAGACCGAUGUGAAAUCCCCGGGCUCAACCUGGGAACUGCAUUGGUGACUGGCAGGCUAGAGUAUGGCAGAGGGGGGUAGAAUUCCACGUGUAGCAGUGAAAUGCGUAGAGAUGUGGAGGAAUACCGAUGGCGAAGGCAGCCCCCUGGGCCAAUACUGACGCUCAUGCACGAAAGCGUGGGGGAGCAAACAGGAUUAGAUACCCUGGUAGUCCACGCCCUAAACGAUGUCAACUAGUUGUUGGGGAUUCAUUUCCUUAGUAACGUAGCUAACGCGUGAAGUUGACCGCCUGGGGAGUACGGUCGCAAGAUUAAAACUCAAAGGAAUUGACGGGGACCCGCACAAGCGGUGGAUGAUGUGGAUUAAUUCGAUGCAACGCGAAAAACCUUACCUACCCUUGACAUGGUCGGAAUCCCGCUGAGAGGUGGGAGUGCUCGAAAGAGAACCGGCGCACAGGUGCUGCAUGGCUGUCGUCAGCUCGUGUCGUGAGAUGUUGGGUUAAGUCCCGCAACGAGCGCAACCCUUGUCCUUAGUUGCUACGCAAGAGCACUCUAAGGAGACUGCCGGUGACAAACCGGAGGAAGGUGGGGAUGACGUCAAGUCCUCAUGGCCCUUAUGGGUAGGGCUUCACACGUCAUACAAUGGUCGGAACAGAGGGUUGCCAACCCGCGAGGGGGAGCUAAUCCCAGAAAACCGAUCGUAGUCCGGAUUGCACUCUGCAACUCGAGUGCAUGAAGCUGGAAUCGCUAGUAAUCGCGGAUCAGCAUGCCGCGGUGAAUACGUUCCCGGGUCUUGUACACACCGC
rnacentral:rRNA from 1 species